rnacentral:rRNA from 1 species
CCAGUAGCGUAUAUUAAAGUUGUUGCAGUUAAAAAGCUCGUAGUUGAAUUUCGGGAUCAAUUAAUUGGUCGUGCCUCUGGUACGUACUGAUUUUAUUGGUUUCUCCCUUCUGACGAACCAUGAUGUCAUUAAUUUGGUGUCGUGGAGAAUCAGGACUGUUACUUUGAAAAAAUUAGAGUGUUUAAAGCAAGCUAACGCUUGAAUACAUUAGCAUGGAAUAAUGAAAUAGGACGUUUGAUCCUAUUUUGUUGGUUUCUAGGAUCGACGUAAUGAUUAAUAGGGAUAGUUGGGGGCAUUAGUAUUCAAUUGUCAGAGGUGAAAUUCUUGGAUUUAUUGAAGACUAACUACUGCGAAAGCAUUUGCCAAGGAUGUUUUCAUUAAUCAAGAACGAAAGUUAGGGGAUCGAAGACGAUCAGAUACCGUCGUAGUCUUAACCAUAAACUAUGCCGACUAGGGAUCGGAUGAUGUUAAUUUUUUAAUGACUCAUUCGGCGCCUUAC